rnacentral:rRNA from 1 species
GGAGAGUGCCUUCGGGAGCCGCGAGACAGGUGCUGCAUGGCUGUCGUCAGCUCGUGUCGUGACGAUGUUGGGUUAAGUCCCGCAACGAGCGCAACCCCUAUCCCUAGUUGCCAUCAUUAAGUUGGGCACUCUAAGGAAACUGCCGGUGUCAAACCGGAGGAAGUGGGGAUGACGUCAAGUCCUCAUGGCCCUUAUGACCAGGGCUACACACGUGCUACAAUGGCGACUACAGAGGGUUAAUCCUUAAAAGUCGUCUCAGUUCGGAUUGUCCUCUGCAACUCGAGGGCAUGAAGUUGGAAUCGCUAGUAAUCGCGGAUCAGCAUGCCGCGGUCGAAUACGUUCCCGGGCCUU